rnacentral:rRNA from 1 species
GUAGGGAAUAUUGGGCAAUGGUGGACACACUGACCCAGCCAUGCCGCGUGCCGGAAGACGGCCCUCUGGGUUGUAAACGGCUUUUAAUCGGGAAGAAAAAGCUCCUUGCGAGGGGCCUUGACGGUACCGACAGAAUCAGCACCGGCUAACUCCGUGCCAGCAGCCGCGGUAAUACGGAGGGUGCGAGCGUUGUCCGGAUUUAUUGGGUUUAAAGGGUGCGUAGGCGGGAAGAUAAGUCAGGGGUGAAAGACGGCUGCUCAACAGUCGCAGUGCCCUUGAUACUGUUUUUCUUGGGUUGAGGUGAGGUAGGCGGAAUGGAGGCUGUAGCGGUGAAAUGCAUAGAUAGCCUCCAGAACUCCGAUUGCGAAGGCAGCUUACUGGUCUCACACCGACGCUGAGGCACGAGAGUGUGGGGAUCAAACAGGAUUAGAUACCCUGGUAGUCCACACUGUAAACGAUGAGAACUCGCCGUUGGGAUGCAAAUCUCAGUGGCUUAGGGAAACCGCUAAGUUCUCCACCUGGGGAGUACGCUCGCAAGAG